rnacentral:rRNA from 1 species
UGGGGAUAUUGCACAAUGGGGGGAACCCUGAUGCAGCGACGCCGCGUGGGUGAAGGAGCGUUUCGGCGCGUAAAGCCCUAUCGGCAGGGAAGAAGGAGGACGGUACCUGACUAAGAAGCCCCGGCUAACUACGUGCC